rnacentral:rRNA from 1 species
GAACAGGAAAUAGCCCAGCACUGAAUCCCGCCGUUGUCACGGCGGCGGGAGAUGUGGUGUUCGGGAGGUUCCGCUUUCUCGUCGUCGCCUCCUCCUGUCCAAGUUCGUCUUGAACGGGGCCGUUUUCCCGUAGAGGGUGCCAGGCCCGUAGCGACGGAGGACGGCGGCGAGAGGGACUCUCCUCAGAGUCGGGUUGCUUGAGAGUGCAGCCCUAAGUGGGUGGUAAACUCCAUCUAAGGCUAAAUAUUACCGCG